rnacentral:rRNA from 1 species
UAGGGAAUCUUCCGCAAUGGACGCAAGUCUGACGGAGCAACGCCGCGUGAGUGAAGAAGGAUUUCGGUUCGUAAAACUCUGUUGUUAGAGAAGAACAGCGCAUAGAGUAACUGUUAUGCGUGUGACGGUAUCUAACCAGAAAGCCACGGCUAACUACGUGCCAGCAGCCGCGGUAAUACGUAGGUGGCAAGCGUUGUCCGGAUUUAUUGGGCGUAAAGCGAGCGCAGGCGGUCAAUUAAGUCUGAUGUGAAAGCCCCCGGCUCAACCGGGGAGGGUCAUUGGAAACUGGUUGGCUUGAGUGCAGAAGAGGAGAGUGGAAUUCCAUGUGUAGCGGUGAAAUGCGUAGAUAUAUGGGGGAACACCAGUGGCGAAGGCGACUCUCUGGUCUGUAACUGACGCUGAGGCUCGAAAGCGUGGGUAGCAAACAGG